AUGAAUUAUUUAUGCACCGAUAUGAUUUUCUUUCUACAUCUCCUUGCUAAGCUUUGUUUCCUGGCAGUAAUUAAAACCUUCUGCCACUGCCAUAGCUGCUGCUGCUGCUGGAACCGCCAUAGCCACCUUGGUUUCGUGGUUUGGCAAAGUAUUGGCCUCCACCACCAUAGGGGCCAGAGCUUCUGCCUCCAAAAUUUCCUCCUUUCAUGGGUCCAAAAUUUGAGGAUUGAUUGUUGUAAUUGCCAAAAUCGUUAUAGCUUCCGCCACCUCCAAAGUUGCUUCCACUACCACCGCCAUAGCCGCCUCCGCCUCCUCCGUUGUUAUAGCUGUCAUAGCUGCCACUCCCGCCAUAGCCACUGCCCUGGUUUCCAUAACCCUGUCCACCACUUCCAUAGCCUCUGCUUCCUCCAGAGUAACCAGGGCCGCCUCCUCCAUAACCACCGUCAUUACCAAAUCCGUUAUAGCCAUCCCCACUGCCACCAUAUCCACCACCACCUAGACUGCCACCGAAGCCACCUCGACCACUGAAGUUCCCUCCACGACCAAAGUUGUCAUUCCCACCAAAACCACCUCCACGACCACCACCAAAGUUUCCAGAACCACUUCGGCCUCUUUGGCUGGACGAAGCACUAGCCAUCUCUUGCUUCGAUAGGGCUUUCCUUACUUCACAGUUGUGGCCAUUCACAGGAUGGUAUUUUUGAAUGACAAUCUUGUCUACAGAGUCGUGGUCAUCAAAGGUCACAGAAGCAAAACCUCUCUUUUUGCCACUGCCUCGGUCAGUCAUGAUCUCAAUCACUUCAAUUUUCCCGCACUGUUCAAAAUAAUCUCUUAGAUGAUGUUCUUCAGUGUCUUCUUUAAUGCCACCGACAAAAAUCUUUUUCACAGUUAAGUGGGCACCGGGUCUUUGAGAAUCUUCUCGGGAGACAGCCCUCUGGUUCCACGACUCUUCCGGCCACCUCGAGCGGCCGGGCCUUCAUGGCCCGUCUGCCUCCUCCACGGGGGCCUACGUGACGAACCCAAAGCCUCUGGAGCGCUUGGUGUCGGGGUCUCUCAUUACCACACAGUCCGUAAGCGUCCCCCAUUGCUCAAAAUGGCUCCUCAGACUCUCAUCGGUCGUUUCGAAGCUCAAACCUCCGAUGAAGAGCUUCCACAGCUGCUCGGGCUCUUUGGGAGACUCUGACUUAGACAUGACGGCGGUGGGAGGGGAGACUUUAACGAUGCUUACUCGGCGGCGUCCAGGGGCAGAAAAGUAGUUCAGUUAUUUUAGUUUCUUGUUCAUAUCCUACAUCAUGAGGGUUUUUUUUUUUUUUUUUUUUUUUUGAGGAAGGGCCUGUCUAUGACCUAUAACAAGGAUAGGGAGAAUAUAUUCUAUUCAUUCAUUUGUUAAAUUAUUGAGUAUGUCCAAACAGCAUUUUGGACUCAAUCUUGGGCAAACAAAAUUGAAUUAGACCUUAUUUCUAUCUAAGUAUUUCAUGUUAACUGGUAGAGACAGACACAAGGGACCCAGAUUUGGCCAUGCAGACUGUUCAUUAUAUAUGUGCCAGGGGGCACAUUUGAGAUUGCUCUGAAUAGCGAUCCCUGGGGUGUGUAGUACACAACAGUCAUAACCAAAUGCGGAACUCUGAAACAACUAAGCAUAAGGCUAUGCAAUCACAGCUAUAAAAUGUAUGAACAAGUCAAAUGAGGCAUAAUUAAUUCUGCAUGGGAGGAGUUGAAGAAAGGGAGGCUGCACUAAGGAUGGGACAUUUGAUUCCUGAAAGAGAAUUUUCCAAGCAGCAUAAACAGAGGACAAGUACAUGCCUAGUAUGGAGAACAAGAAUAAAGAUACAGUGGAAUAAAAAAAAUACUUGAGGGAAUGGUGGAGUAAGGACCUCCAAACACUGACUUGUUCAUAAAAGCAGUAAAACUAUUGGUGCGCCUGGGUGGCUCAGUUGGUUAAGCAUCUGCCUUUGGCUCAGGUCAUGAUCCCAGAGUUCUGGAUUGAGCCUCACAUCUGGCUGGGUCCCUGCUCAGCCAGGAGCCUGCUUCUCCCUCUCCUCCCUGCUCCCUUGUACUCUCUUGCCAUCUCUGUCUCUCUCUCUCAAAUAAAGAAAUACUAUUUUUAAACAACAACAACAACAAAGCGGUAAAAUUGUCAGAAUCAUUCUUUUCAGAAUUGUAGAAAUUAACUAAAGGCUUGUAGCAACCUAAGAAAUGUUUAUUCAAGAAAAAUGGCAAAAUCUCAAAAAAGGAAACAAACAAACAAAAAAACCUAAGAACCGAGCAAGCCUGGUGACAUUUUAACUUGCCCUAAUCCUGUUCCUCUCUCCAAGUUCUGCUAGAGCCUUGAAACCCAACAGCCUCACAACUGGAAAUUGUCCCUGACUGAGUCCAGAUGUUGGCCUUACUAAGCAAAUACUUUAUUUAUUUAUUUAUUUUUAAACAAAUACUUUAUUUUAUUUUUUUAAGCAAAUACUUUAAAUCACCUAUUAUAAGUAUGUUCAUAGACUAUCCCUCAUUUAGGAUAUUAAAAAUUAUUAUGAGAAACAAAAUAGAGUUCUGUGGUCAUAUAAAUUGAUAAAAAAAUAAUGAGUUGAAAAAUUCUGUAUUGCAGGCUAUGUCAGUACCUUCUCUGUGCUAAUAUACAUUGUCAUUGUCCAACAGUGGAAUAUUAUAGGCAUUUUCCAAAUUCCUUUGACUACAGAAACAAAAUGUCAGAAAAUAUUUAUUUAUAGCUUAUGGGACAGUAAUGAUUCUUUACAUAUAGUUUGGGAGACAGAGGCCUAGACUAUGAUCUCUUGUAACAGGGUACUUACUUAGUAGGAACAUGGUCUUAUCUAAUUUGCAUGCAGCCUGGUACAUUGUCCCCUGCAUCCCAAUGCUCUGUGAUUGUUAACUGGAGGAAUAAAUAUAAGAAGAAAAGCUGGGGUGGGGGGGGGAACAAAUUAGAAGAAUAGCAACAGCAACAAAAGUGGGAUAAAGAUACCUGCCCCCCAGCCUCCAUUUACCAUGCCUACUCUGGUUAUCCCCCCAUCCCCAUAUCACCAUACCUGCAUUGUUGGCCAUACCCUUUCAUCUCAAGACCCAACCUGAUCUUAUCCUAAUGCAGACCUCACAAAAGCACUUUGAAUUUCAACAUUGCCCUUCACUAGUUCCAGUGUUGUGCUGGUCCCUAAGCUAAGUCCAGAUGGACAGGAAGAUCUUAUUUAACUCUUAGCCAGGAUCCAAAGCCCUGAUGUCUCAGUUCAGGUUUCAAGGACUUUGCCAAGCCCAACCCUCAAGAUGCCCAUUUCUCAGCCUCACUUGAGUAGAUAUUUCAGACAAAGUUCCCUGAAUUAUCCUGAUAUGGAUACUAUCUCUUUCAAACACUUGCAUGUCCAAGUCAACUUUCUUCACUGCAUCAGUGACCUACUUCUACUCUUUAUCCUUCUCCCCUU
rnacentral:lncRNA from 1 species